AGAGUUUGAUUCUGGCUCAGGAUGAACGCUAGCGGCAGGCUUAACACAUGCAAGUCGAGGGGCAGCGGGAUGUAGCAAUACAUUGCCGGCGACCGGCGGAUGGGUGCGUAACGCGUAUGCAACCUACCUUAUACAGGGGAAUAACCUUUCGAAAGGGAGACUAACACCCCAUGGUAUUGAUUUUAAGGCAUCUUAGAUUAAUUAAAUAUUUAUAGGUAUAAGAUGGGCAUGCGUAUGAUUAGCUAGUUGGUAAGGUAACGGCUUACCAAGGCGACGAUCAUUAGGGGUUCUGAGAGGAAGGUCCCCCACACUGGUACUGAGACACGGACCAGACUCCUACGGGAGGCAGCAGUGAGGAAUAUUGGUCAAUGGGCGCAAGCCUGAACCAGCCAUGCCGCGUGCAGGAAGACGGCCUUAUGGGUUGUAAACUGCUUUUACAUAAGACUAACCGUAUAUUUGCGAAUAUACCUGAAUGUAUUAUGAGAAUAAGGAUCGGCUAACUCCGUGCCAGCCGCGGC
rnacentral:rRNA from 1 species